ensembl:lncRNA
AAGCAUAGUGCAAAAUAGCCGUAAAAGGAGAAAGUCCUUGGGAAAAUGGUGAAGGGCCAGAAGUACUCGGCUUUACACUACAGACAGAAAGACAUCUCCUGCCUUUGGUUAUGCUCGGUGCCAAGAGUUAAUAAUAAAUAGGGAUGUUACUUGUGAGAGCAGGUUGUGGGAGAAGCCCAUGAGUCAUUUAGAGCACGCUGUUCUUGAAAUGUUUCUACUGAUUAUGUGUUAACUCUGUAUGUGCUCUGCUGGCCGCAUACUUUAAGCUCUUUGUUCCUGCUUCUAUAAAAAAGCUUGACUGCAGAAAUAAACUUGUCAGUCCUUGCAAGAGACUGUCUGAGUGUCAUUCUUUCAGGUUCAUCGCUUCCAAGUCCUGGGGAAAAAAUCCCCAACAAGUGGCGCCACGAACAGGGACUUGAGAGAAAGGCUGAACAAAGCGACGAGUCCCUGCAGAAAGAGAUGGAGAGGAAAUCUGGGUUCCCCUUCGCCAUGUCCGCUACCGAGAAGGACCCCAAGACCGGACUCCCUUGGGAAGUGACAAAGUUGACGUGAAGGGUCUUGUCAAUGACCCUGGAGGAGCCAAUGAGGAAACACCAUCAUCUGAAUCCUUACCUGACAUGGGCUCAAGUGAAAACAUGACUCGUCAGGCUGAGCAGACACUGAAGAGUACUGGAACUCCUAUGACUCCAGAUAUGCUGUUUCUGGCAAUGUAAACUGUUCUGAAGAGCAGGAGGAACAUCAUAAUUGCUCCUGGUUUAAUAGAUCAAGCAUUGGAGGCUUUCAUAAAUCUAAGACAAGUUUCUGGACUGAUAAGGACAUAUUGCUGAAUUGGUAUAACGGGGGCUUUAUCACCCCCAUGACCUAGGAUUGUCGUCCCCAUUGUGGGGCCAAAGCAAUGGCACACUUGGAAAAUUCCAGCAGCUUUAGAGCACUUUGCUAAUGUUUAUGGGACUAUGGGUGUGUUUCAUCCUUCUAAUUACACCUUCCUAUACAAUAGUACUGGCUAUAUUCAAUCGUGUGUUCACCUUCCGUACUUGUUUAUUGUAGGGCAUUUUGAUAUUGACUUAUUGGCCAAGAUUGUCAAUUGUACUGCAUGUGCAUUGUAUACCAGCCUUAAUCACACCAUUUCAUAUCACAAUGCUAGCAUUGCACUAGUUAAACAAAGAUCUGAGUUAUGGCUUCCCGUAAAUUUAACUGAGCCUUGGACUGAUUCUGUAUUUCUUUCUGUACUGUUGAAAACCGGGUUUAGGCAAUCUAAGCACAUCCUUGGGUAGAUUAUUGCAGGCAUCUUAAGCCUUAUCUCCAUUGUGACUGUAGGAACUUUGUCUGGUAUGGCUUUACAUAAUUCUAUACGAAAUCAUGAUUUUAUCACUGCUUGGCACAAAGACUCUCAUGAUCUGUGGACUUGACAAGCUCAAAUAGAUCAGCAUUUACAAACACGGAUUAAUGAGUUACAAUGUGGUUAUCUACUUAGGAGAUCAAAUGCAGCUACUGACUUUCCAAACACAUAUAGGCUGUCACUGGAAUUUUACUUCUUUUUGUCUGACUAACAUGCCCUAUAAUAGCACUGAAUAUCCUUGGAAUGAGGUUAAGGCGCAUUUGCAGGAUCUCACAAAUAACUCAAGUUUAGACAUCAAUUUGUUGAAACAACAAGUUGCUAAUUUUCAAGUUAGGGUACCUAGGGAAUUGUAUAGUACUCAAUUCUAUGAUAGUUUAACCAAAACCCUAUCGUCUCUAAACCCUAGAGCUUGGCUUUCAGGAAGCAAUAUUUUUAUAUAUGUAUUAAUCAACCUGCUCUUUUUGUCCUUGAUUAUAGGAUACAGAAGUCUCUACUCAAGACUCCGUGCCUCCCACAACGGAGUCCAACUAGCCACUGCCGUGCUUAAUUUAAAAACAAAAGGAGGAUAUGUUGGGAAGCGUAGUGCAAAAUAGCUGUAAAAGGAGAAAGUCCUUGGGAAAAUGGCGAAGGGCCAGAAGUACUCGGCUUUACACUACAGACAGAAAGACAUCUCCUGCCUUUGGUUAUGCUCGGUGCCAAGAGUUAAUAAUAAAUAGGGAUGUUACUUGUGAGAGCAGGUUGUGGGAGAAGCCCAUGAGUCAUUUAGAGCGCGCUGUCCUUGAAAUGUUUCUACUGAUUAUGUGUUAACUCCGUAUGCGCUCUGCUGGCUGUAUACUUUAAGCUCUUUGUUCCUGCUUCUAUAAAAAAGCUUGACUGCAGAAAUAAACUUGUCAGUCCUUGCAAGAGACUGUCCGAGUGUCAUUCUUUCAGGUUCGUCGCUUCCAAGUCCCAGGGAAAAAAUCC